AUGAACACACAGACAGAAGUCCUAGUCUUGGAAUCCAAGAUUUCCUCAUAGCAUCUUGGGUUCCAAGACUAGGACUUCUGUCUGUGU